CUUGCAAGAGUGUGGUUGAUCUCUUCAAAGUGCCACAAUCCUCCCCGUCCAACAGUUUUGUCCUGUUCAAGGACACGUGAGAAGGUUGUGGUUUCUUGUUCUCGACAUUGCCAAUGACCUGUGAUACUUCCAUUAGCAUUAAUUACGCCAUUGAAGCAUGCGCACCCAUCCCAACGCUGCAAUGAGGAUCGUUUCUCGUUGAUGUUGAGCUCCAAUGUGUCAUCAACUUCAACAUGGGCACCCUGAUCUCGCAGCAAACGCAAUAUCAGAUACCCUGACAGGUGCCAGUCUUCCAUGGUCUCAUACAUUCAAUGAAAUGGCAACGCAAUAUUGUC
rnacentral:lncRNA from 1 species